GUUAGUGUCAGAGAGAGGGAGGGAGGGAGGGAGGAAAGGGGAUAGAUUGGUGUAGGUCUGGCCCACGCAUCAGUGGGAGACUGAGCCUUUCUAUCCACACACACACAGUCAGUGUGUCAUGCUUGCACUGUGUGGGCUGAACUGAGCAUUCUUGCCAUACAGUAACGGUACAUAGACUGCCUCCUCUUUCCUCUCUCUCUCUCUCCUCUCUUUCCCCUCUCUCUCUCAUCCAUUUGUCGUUCCCCUCGCUUUCCUCGUUUCCUCUUCUUCUCUCUUUCCUCUCUUUCCUCUCUCUCCAUCUCUUUCUUUCUCCCCAUCUCUCUGGCUUUCUCACACUCUACAUCUCUCUCUUUCUCUCUCACACUCCAUCUCUCUCUCCACCUCUCUCUCAGUGUGCAGGCAGAGAAGCCUGGUGAUGGAGGAUCUGUGUCUCUGAUGCUGUGGGGCUGUGACUGGACAGUGAGUGACCCCAUGCCUCUGAGUCCGACUGCCAACGCUAAGCAUGACCCCCCUGAUCAUCCCCGGCAACCAGCUGCUACCAAUGGCAACCAGCCAGGUUCCGCCCUUGCCAGGGACGACGGGAGGACUUCCUCCCCAGAUCCUCCUGACGACGGCUCUGGAAACAGCAUCGUCAUCCGUAUUGGCAUCCCUGACCUGCAGCAGACGGUACACACAAACACACAAACACACACAUAUGAAAACUCUUACCUAAGAAAUUGAUUCAUAAAUUCACAGGUGUGUGAAGAAUGUCGCCGGAGGAGAUGACUGCCGUUUUACGGGCUCUUAACCAAUCGUGCUGUUGUGUGUGUUUUUUCGCGUUAUUUGUAGCCAACUUUGUUUCUGCCACCGUCUCUUAUGACGAAAAGAGCUUCUGGAUAUCAGGACAGCGAUUACUCACCUCGUACUGGACAACGAUUUUUUUUUAAUGAGUUGGACUUAAAGGAUUUAUUUCAGACACCCGACAAGGCCUCAUCCUCGUCAUUCGCAGGAGAAAGAGACAGAGGUAUCAGGGACGUAGGUCGGGGUGCCUUGUAAGGAUUUGAUGGCGAGUGGGUAAUCUGCCUCUACGUAUUAGCCUGUAAGGACAGACGCUAGGAGACGAGAAGCAAGUACAGUACAUUUAAUAAAUAACGGACAUGAAACAAAACACGGACAGCGUCUGGACGGGAAACAAAACGACAUUGAUGCUGACUCGGGAAAGAAACUAAGAGAUACAGGGGAGGUAAUUAAUAACAUGAUGGAGUCCAGGUGAGUCUGAUGACGCGCUGAUGCGUGUAACGAUGGUGACAGAUAUGUGUAAUGAUAAGCAACCUGGUGACCUUGAGCUCCAGAGAGGGGGAAAAGGAGCAGAUGUGACAGUACCUCCCCUCUAAGGGCGCCACUCGGCGUCCCACCUGGGCGAGCCCGACGAGCCAGCUGAGGCAUGGAAGCCCGACGAGCCAGCUGAGGCAUGGAAGCCCGACGAGCCAGCUGAGGCAUGGAAGCCCGACGAGCCAGCUGAGGCAUGGAAGCCCGACGAGCCAGCUGAGGCAUCCAUUGUUUCUUCGGCAGCCGUACCCGGACCCAACGUCACCCACUUAAACAAAAACACUUCCUGAUGCUUCCAACAUUGGUGUCAAAACAACAUUAAUGCUCUACAUACUACCUACCCCUACCUAACCCUGGUCCACAUACUACCUACCCCUACCUAACCCGGGUCCACAUACUACCUACCCCUACCUAACCCUGGUCCACAUACUACCUACCCCUACCUAACCCUGGUCCACAUACUACCUACCCCUACCUAACCCGGGUCCACAUACUACCUACCCCUACCUAACCCUGGUCCACAUACUACCUACCCCUACCUAACCCGGGUCCACAUACUACCUACCCCUACCUAACCCUGGUCCACAUACUACCUACCCCUACCCCUACCUAACCCUGGUCCACAUACUACCUACCCCUACCUAACCCUGGUCCACAUACUACCUACCCCUACCUAACCCUGGUCCACAUACUACCUACCCCUACCUAACCCUGGUCCACAUACUACCUACCCCUACCUAACCCUGGUCCACAUACUACCUACCCCUACACAUACCUAACCCUGGUCCACAUACUACCUACCCCUACCCCUACCUAACCCUGGUCCACAUACUACCUACCCCUACCUAACCCUGGUCCACAUACUACCUACCCCUACCUAACCCUGGUCCACAUACUACCUACCCCUACCUAACCCUGGUCCACAUACUACCUACCCCUACCUAACUCUGGUCCACAUACUACCUACCCCUACCCCUACCUAACUCUGGUCCACAUACUAUCUACCCCUACCUAACCCUGGUCCACAUACUACCUACCCCUACCUAACCCUGGUCCACAUACUACCUACCCCUACCUAACCCUGGUCCACAUACUACCUACCCCUACCUAACCCUGGUCCACAUACUACCUACCCCUACCUAACUCUGGUCCACAUACUAUCUACCCCUACCUAACCCUGGUCCACAUACUACCUACCCCUACCUAAUCCUGGUCCACACACUACCUACCUACCCCACCUAACCCUGGUCCACAUACUACCUACCCCUACCUAACCCUGGUCCACAUACUACCUACCCCUACCUAACUCUGGUCCACAUACUAUCUACCCCUACCUAACCCUGGUCCACAUACUACCUACCCCUACCUAAUCCUGGUCCACACACUACCUACCUACCCCACCUAACCCUGGUCCACAUACUACCUACCCCUACCUAACCCUGGUCCACAUACUAUCUACCCCUACCUAACCCUGGUCCACAUACUACCUACCCCUACCUAACCCGGGUCCACAUACUACCUACCCCUACCUAACCCUGGUCCACAUACUACCUACCCCUACCUAACCCUGGUCCACAUACUACCUACCCCUACCUAACCCGGGUCCACAUACUACCUACCCCUACCUAACCCUGGUCCACAUACUACCUACCCCUACCUAACCCGGGUCCACAUACUACCUACCCCUACCUAACCCUGGUCCACAUACUACCUACCCCUACCCCUACCUAACCCUGGUCCACAUACUACCUACCCCUACCUAACCCUGGUCCACAUACUACCUACCCCUACCUAACCCUGGUCCACAUACUACCUACCCCUACCUAACCCUGGUCCACAUACUACCUACCCCUACCUAACCCUGGUCCACAUACUACCUACCCCUACACAUACCUAACCCUGGUCCACAUACUACCUACCCCUACCCCUACCUAACCCUGGUCCACAUACUACCUACCCCUACCUAACCCUGGUCCACAUACUACCUACCCCUACCUAACCCUGGUCCACAUACUACCUACCCCUACCUAACCCUGGUCCACAUACUACCUACCCCUACCUAACUCUGGUCCACAUACUACCUACCCCUACCCCUACCUAACUCUGGUCCACAUACUAUCUACCCCUACCUAACCCUGGUCCACAUACUACCUACCCCUACCUAACCCUGGUCCACAUACUACCUACCCCUACCUAACCCUGGUCCACAUACUACCUACCCCUACCUAACCCUGGUCCACAUACUACCUACCCCUACCUAACUCUGGUCCACAUACUAUCUACCCCUACCUAACCCUGGUCCACAUACUACCUACCCCUACCUAAUCCUGGUCCACACACUACCUACCUACCCCACCUAACCCUGGUCCACAUACUACCUACCCCUACCUAACCCUGGUCCACAUACUACCUACCCCUACCUAACUCUGGUCCACAUACUAUCUACCCCUACCUAACCCUGGUCCACAUACUACCUACCCCUACCUAAUCCUGGUCCACACACUACCUACCUACCCCACCUAACCCUGGUCCACAUACUACCUACCCCUACCUAACCCUGGUCCACAUACUAUCUACCCCUACCUAACCCUGGUCCACAUACUACCUACCCCUACCUAAUCCUGGUCCACAUUCUACCUACCCCUACCUAACCCUGGUCCACAUACUACCUACCCCUACCUAACCCUGGUCCACAUACUACCUACCCCUACACCUACCUAACCCUGGUCCACAUACUACCUACCCCUACACCUACCUAACCCUGGUCCACAUACUACCUACCCCUACCUAACCCUGGUCCACAUACUACCUACCCCUACAUAACCCUGGUCCACAUACUACCUACCCCUACACCUACCUAACCCUGGUCCACAUACUACCUACCCCUACCUAACCCUAACUCGGGAAAGAAACUGAGGAAGUGACAGUCAGCCACCAAUUGUGCAAGUUCUCCCACUUAAAAAGAUGAGAGAGGCCUGUUUCAUCAUAGGUACACUUC
rnacentral:lncRNA from 1 species